GAUGAAGAACGUAGCGAAAUGCGAUAAGUAAUGUGAAUUGCAGAAUUCAGUGAAUCAUCGAAUCUUUGAACGCACCUUGCGCUCCUUGGUAUUCCGAGGAGCAUGCCUGUUUGAGUGUCAUGAAAUUCUCAACCUUUUCAGCUUUCUUUGUUGAUCAGGCUUGGAUGUGGGAGUAUGCGGGCUUCUCAGAAGUCGGCUCUCCUGAAAUGCAUUAGCGGGACCUUUGUUGCCAGGCUUUGGUGUGAUAAUUAUCUACGCCAUUGUAGUCAAGCAGCUUAAAAUGAGGUUUCAGCUUCUAACCGUCUCCCCUGAGACAACUUUUUGACAAUUUGACCUCAAAUCAGGUAGGACUACCCGCUGAACUUAAGCAUAUCAAUAAGCGGAGGA
rnacentral:misc_RNA from 1 species